ACAAUGGUCUUGUAAGCCAUAAAUGAAAACUUUUUUCUAAGGGUAU
rnacentral:tRNA from 1 species